rnacentral:pre_miRNA from 14 species
UUUUUGUCAUUUUGUUUUUCUGAUGCUGAGGCUCCUGAAAGAUCCCACGCAGAGAGACCCUUACUCAAGUCUUGGGAAAUCGCGGACCCCAGACACAGAGAGACCA